rnacentral:rRNA from 1 species
ACGAUCCAUAGCUGGUCUGAGAGGAUGAUCAGCCACAUUGGGACUGAGACACGGCCCAAACUCCUACCGGAGGCAGCAGUGGGGAAUAUUGAACAAUGGGCGCAAGCCUGAUCCGGCCAUGCCGCGUGAAUGAUGAAAGCCCUAGGGUUGUAAUGCUCUUUCACCGGAGAAGAUAAUGACGGUAUCCGGAAAAGAAGCCCCGGCUAACUUCCUACCGGCAGCCACGGUAAUACGAAGGGGGCUAGCGUUGUUCGGAAUUACUGGGCGUAAAGCGCCACGUAGGCGGAUCGAUCAGUCAGGGGUGAAAUCCCUGGGCUCAACUCUGGAACUGCCUUUGAUACUGUCGAUCUGGAGUAUG